GCAUUUAGUCCCGUACAUCCGCACCGGUAACACCGCGGCCGUCUUGGCCAAAAAUCAGACUUGCGAUUUUCCAUCGACCACCGCCGCCGCCGAAUGCAACGCCCAACGAUUAUGACACCUCGUCGACCAGUAAACUUGGCUGAAUUGAAAAAAGAGGUUAACAUAAGCGCAAUACUAAUAAUGUCGUUGCACCCGGACCGGCCAUCUUUCAACUGUCACACGCUGUACAUGCUAUACUUAUGUAUAUGCUACUUGGCAGAGAUCACUGCAAUCGAUCACUACAACAUCCGAACCGUGUCAAGAAAACCCAAACGCCGAGUGUUCACUUUCCGUGCGAACCAAACAUAAUAUACAUGCCAACAUAAUGUUACAUAUACACAGAGAGCGUCGCCGACAAACAUUCUUGGAC